CCGUGCGCCGCCGCCUCCCGCCGUACCUCCCUCCUUCCCUCCCGCUCCGCCGCGCCGCGGUCUGGCCGGCAGCCCCUCCUCUAAGGGCGAAAUAUAUUGGUGAAAUACCUCAUCGGUCCUGUUUCCCUUGGGCUCAGCAUUUGCAUUAGAUUGCACCAAAAUGUUCCCUCACAGAGAAGGAUUUUGCGUCUUGGGGACAGAUAUGUGAUGCAUACAGCUUAUGCAGUGCUCUGUUUAAGCUCACGCACAAUGACAGACAAGUUACUGUAAGAAACCGUAGCUGGGAAGAGAGAAACUGAAACGGGGAUGGUUAUAGGGCCUACUUCUGCCUUCAAAGAGGGGAAAAAAACCAACACAAAAAACUCUCAAGGGUUAUAACUGGAACAGAAAAAGGUUUGGUGUUAGCGUUUGUGAUUCAGCCUUGCAUUAUAAUGGUUACCAGCAGCCUCAUUUUCUUUUUAUGGUCAUCCUGGUUUCCUGAUUGCAUGACACUUCCAUUGGGCCACUGUUCUUAAUAAUUUAACCUUUUAUGAGAUUGUUUUGAUUUACAGCGUAAAUGAGAGGAAGAGUAAAAAAGUAUAUCACCCAUUGGCUAUUAAACUCCUUUGUACUAUAUGCAAAGGUCUCUGUUGUUUAAAAUGUUGUGAGAAAGGCUCUUCUCUAAUUUUUUCUUUUUUUUUCCCCAGCCAACUAGUAAUUUUCUAAUUUUUUUUUUACUUAACUGAAAAAUACCAUUCAGAUAAUAUAACAUCUCUGUGCUGAGCUAUGCAAAAUGUAUGCUGAGUUUUGGAUUCAAUGGUUGGCUUGUUUGCUUGCUGAAGUACUAAGUCAUAUAAACUAUGUUGAAAAUAGAAUUAAAACCACAACUGAACA